GAACUUCCUUGAUUAGCUUAAUCUACCCAUUCCUAAUUUAACUAAACCAGCCCAAAUCCACAUCUCUUUUAAUUUUAACCCAGUCCAAAAUCAACCAUCCCAGCCCAAUUCUGCACCCAACCGGCCCAACGAUAACAGCUUACCCCCAGCAGCCCACACCAGCCGCCGACCCGACCCGACCCGACCCGAGCCAAGCCUCUUCUCCCUUAAUAGUAACAACAACAACCCAACAACAAUGGUGUAUAACCCUUAACACCACCGUUAAUAACAAACAGCCAGCAACAACGUCAACAACGACAACGCCGUCCAAGCAACAACAACAAAAAUCAGACCCCAAUUCGACAAUAAUAGCUUCAAUGACAACAUCGUCAAAUCCAUAAACCCUAGUCAACCUAGCCAUUGCCAUCAAUUUUACUCUUUUACCCCGUCGUAAAACCAAUUUUGGCUAAAGUUUCAUCGACUUUUUCUUGCUCAACUCAUGUUCACCUCCCUUUUGGCAAGAAGCCAACAAAUACAUGCCCUCUCUGUCUGUGGGUUUGAAAUUCUCCAAGAAAAUCAAUUUAAAAUUCGGAUUUAAAUCCAAAACCCUAAUUCUUUUCCCCCCAAAUUCUCCUAUAAAUAGAUAGUGAGGGAUAGGGGUGAAGGAGGAGGACUUUGGGGAAAAAUUUCAGGGUUUUGGAGGUGCAUGCGUGUAACCUCAGGCAACAAUAUUCUCAAAGAACACACUCGGAAAAAUCAAUUUCGCCGAAAGAUUGAAUUCCGACAAGUUUAAAUUUAAACUUUUGUGGUGGAAGUUCGUAGUCAAGUCUCGUUGUCCUAAGUUCGCUGCUCCAAAAAAGAUAUACGCUGCCGAAUGAGUAUGAGCAACCGCCACCCGUUUAAAUUUGUUGACGACCUGCUGCACCAAGAGAGAGGGCUCAUCGAGGCGGUGAGAGAGGUGGGCAACAACAGAAUGAAAUUCAUAUUGAACAUAAUUUGGUUGAUGAAGAAAAUUUGGAUGAUCGUGGAGUACAAUAUGAAGGUAAUUUCAAUCUGUCGCUGGGUACAACUAGUGUUGAGUCGUAUUACUCCACAUUUGACUAUACUGGAGCCUUAACUAGUGAAGCAAAUUCUUUCCAUAAACAAAGUUCUGAUUUUGUAACUCCACCUGUUGGGGUAAGUGGCUUUAGCUAAUUUAGCAAAUACUUUUCUAA